AGGGUUUGAUCAUGGCUCAGAACGUACGCUGGCGGCACGCCUAACACAUGCAAGUCGAACGAAGUAGCAAUACUUAGUGGCAGACGGGUGAGUAACAUGUGGGUAUCUGCCCUUUGGCCUGGAAUAACACGAGGAAACUUGUGCUAAUACCGGAUAAGUCUUUACGGAGAAAGCUUUAUGCACCAUUGGAUGAGCCCGCACUUGAUUAGUUUGUUGGUGGGGUAAUGGCCUACCAAGACUGUGAUCAAUAGCUGAUUUGAGAGGAUGAUCAGCCACAUUGGGACUGAGACACGGCCCAAACUCCUACGGGAGGCAGCAGUGGGGAAUCUUGCACAAUGGAGGAAACUCUGAUGCAGCGAUGCCGCGUGAGUGAAGAAGGCCCUUGGGUUGUAAAGCUCUUUCGUCGGGGAAGAAAAUGACUGUACCCGAAUAAGAAGGUCCGGCUAACUUCGUGCCAGCAGCCGCGGUAAUACGAAGGGACCUAGCGUAGUUCGGAAUUACUGGGCUUAAAGAGUUCGUAGGUGGUUGAAAAAGUUAGUGGUGAAAUCCCAGAGCUUAACUCUGGAACUGCCAUUAAAACUUUUCAGCUAGAGUAUGAUAGAGGAAAGCAGAAUUUCUAGUGUAGAGGUGAAAUUCGUAGAUAUUAGAAAGAAUACCAAUUGCGAAGGCAGCUUUCUGGAUCAUUACUGACACUGAGGAACGAAAGCAUGGGUAGCGAAGAGGAUUAGAUACCCUCGUAGUCCAUGCCGUAAACGAUGUGUGUUAGACGUUGGAAAUUUAUUUUCAGUGUCGCAGCGAAAGCGAUAAACACACCGCCUGGGGAGUACGACCGCAAGGUUAAAACUCAAAUGAAUUGACGGGGACCCGCACAAGUAGUGGAGCAUGUGGUUUAAUUCGAAGAUACGCGCAGAACCUUACCAACACUUGACAUGUUCGUCGCGACUCUAAGAGAUUAGAGUUUUCGGUUCGGCCGGACGAAACACAGGUGCUGCAUGGCUGUCGUCAGCUCGUGUCGUGAGAUGUUGGGUUAAGUCCCGCAACGAGCGCAACCCUCACUUUUAGUUGCCAUCAUUAAGUUGGGCACUCUGAAAGAACUGCCAGUGAUAAGCUGGAGGAAGGUGGGGAUGACGUCAAGUCCUCAUGGCCCUUACGUGUUGGGCUACACACGUGCUACAAUGGUAUCUACAACAGGAAGCAAGACUGCGAAGUUAAGCAAAUCCCUAAAAGAUACCUCAGUUCGGAUUGCACUCUGCAACUCGAGUGCAUGAAGCUGGAAUUACUAGUAAUCGUGGAUCAGCGUGCCACGGUGAAUGCGUUCCCGGGUCUUGUACACACCGCCCGUCACACCAUGGGAGUUGGUUCUACCUUAAGGCAAGGUUUCAAACCCUUGACCACGGUAUAGUCAGCGACUGGGGUGAAGUCGUAACAAGGUAACCGUA
rnacentral:rRNA from 1 species